AUUGAACGCUGGCGGCAGGCCUAACACAUGCACGUCGAACGAGUUGCGGACGGGUGAGUAAUGUCUGGGAAACUGCCUGAUGGAGGGGGAUAACUAAUGGAAAAGGUAGCUAAUACCGCAUACCAUCGGAUGUGCCCAGAUGGGAUUCGCUAGUAGGUGGGGUAAAGGCUCACCAAGGCGACGAUCCCUCGCUGGUCUGAGAGGCUGACCAGCCACACUGGAACUGAGACACGGUCCAGACUCCUACGGGAGGAAGCAGUGGGGAAUAUUGCACAAUGGGCGCAAGCCUGAUGCAGCCAUGCCGCGUGUAUGAAGAAGGCCUUCGGGUUGUAAAGUACUUUCAGCGGGGAGGCGUUACCCGCAGAAGAAGCACCGGCUAACUCCGUGCCAGCCGCCGCGGUAAUUC
rnacentral:rRNA from 1 species